UACGGCCAUUCCACCCUGAACACUCCCCGUCUGGCCUGAUCCCGGAAGCCAAGCAGGGCUGGGGCCUGGUUAGUGCUUGGAUAGGAGAAAGCUGGGUCUGAGCCUUGC
rnacentral:rRNA from 1 species